rnacentral:lncRNA from 1 species
AACGGCUACGGCCAUCUCCAAUGUAUGAACGGCUACGGCCAUCUCCAAUGUAUGAACGGCUACGGUCGUCUCCAAUGAAUGAACGGCUACGGUCACCUCCAAUGUGAGGAUUACCCGAUUUGACCAAUGAGGCCACGACCUACCCGCCACUACAAAGGCGCCCCCUCAAUGUGGUCGCAACUACUCAGUGCCAGCUCACACAGCUCACAGCUAUAAAUAUUAAGCGAAAAAACCCUAGAAGGAGGACUGCUUCUUCUUCAUCACGAUUCUCGA